rnacentral:rRNA from 1 species
UACGUAGGGUGCGAGCGUUGUCCGGAAUUAUUGGGCGUAAAGAGCUCGUAGGCGGUGUGUCACGUCGGCCGUGAAAACCUGCAGCUUAACUGUGGGCGUGCGGUCGAUACGGGCAUCACUGGAGUUCGGCAGGGGAGACUGGAAUUCCUGGUGUAGCGGUGAAAUGCGCAGAUAUCAGGAGGAACACCGGUGGCGAAGGCGGGUCUCUGGGCCGAUACUGACGCUGAGGAGCGAAAGCGUGGGGAGGAAACAGG